rfam:Nippostrongylus brasiliensis genome assembly, scaffold: NBR_contig0000117
GGCUCAGUGGUGUAGCGGUCCAGCAUCACACGUCUGGAACGCGAGUUCGAAUCCCACCUGAGCCG